rnacentral:rRNA from 1 species
UACAGAGGGUGCAAACGUUGCUCGGAAUUACUGGGCGUAAAGCGCGUGUAGGCGGACUGGUGUGUCGGAUGUGAAAUCCCCAGGCUCAACCUGGGAACUGCAUUCGAAACUGCCAGCCUUGAGUGGUGGAGAGGGAAGUGGAAUUCCUGGUGUAGAGGUGAAAUUCGUAGAUAUCAGGAGGAACACCAGUGGCGAAGGCGGCUUCCCGACGACC